GGGGGUACAAGUGCGUGCACCGAUCAGAGGUAGCGGGUGGAGUUGAACUGCAAGCUCUGAGAAUUCAGCUGGUGAGUGUGGUUUGAGCUUGGUCAAGUCAGUUGGACCCUGUGGUUCGCGAAGCACUUAGCAAGUGUUGCGGGCCAUGGGUGUUCUUCGGGCUGACUCGCCGGUGCACUUUCUCAGAGUGGUCACCACGACCGGCAUCGCUGUCUGGCUGGUGGGGUUAAACCGGUUUUGCAAGGUCCUUGUGGCUCUGCUUGAUCGGGAUGGCAGGUAGCUCGUUGGUUUGCUUGCGAGCCUUCGAGUGUAAUCAGCUGACCACAUCGGUUCUGUGCAGUAUGUCGGAGACGGCGGCUAGUGCGCGUGCGUGCAUAGUUGGUCGGCGUGUCCGGGUUUGGUUGUUACGUGCCUGUUUAUUCAGGCCUGAUGAUGGCUCGGAUUCGUUCGGCUGGCUGUUGCGUGCGUGCACAAUACGGGGCCAAUAGUCUGUGGUGUAGUGGUAACUAUCCACCCGACCCGUCUUGAAACACGGGACCAAGA
rnacentral:rRNA from 1 species